rnacentral:lncRNA from 1 species
GCUGGACUGAGCUGGGCUGGGCUGGGGAGGCACCUGCGGCUGCCAAGGGGUCCGAGCGCCGCCCAGCGCACAGCUACCCCGGAGGGGCGGCUCCUUGGCCAGGGAAGGAGGCGGGAUCUGCUUGCCAGCGGGCGUCUCCGCUUAGCGCUCUCUCCAGAAACCGCUGGGCAGUCUCCUGGGUGAGCGCCAGACGCCUGGGGUCCGUUUGCCGCCUGCUGAGACUAGACAAGGACCCCGGGAGGGCGACGUUGGGGGAGAGGGCUACGGAUGGAGGUCCCGCCGCGCUUGGGCCGGGUCCGGAGCCACCAGGACGCACAGCGGGUUUCCCUCAUUCUCAGUCAGGUGGUUGAGUUAUCCAAGCCUUCAUAACCAGAGGGUCUGAGCACUUGUUGGACUGUGCUUACUGCAGCUUCUCAUUUACAAUUACCACUGCACCUGAGAGUACCAAGAGAUUCCUGAGCCAGAGAUUACGAUUUCCAACUUCCAGCUCCUCAAGAUGGAGAAACAGAGGGAAGAAGAGACUUGGAAUCACUCUGUCCUGGCUGUGGGUCUAUGAAAAAGAAUGUGGCCUACUGCUAAAUACAUUGAUUUUGAAGCUAGAUAGCUCUGGUUUUGGGGAGCAAGUGAUUUGAUCUCUCAGAGACUCAGCUACUUCAUCAGUAAACAGAGAUUACCAUAUCCACCAGUAAUGGCUAUAGGAGCAGUAAUAGGGAUGAUAUAGGUGAAAGCACUGAUCACUGAAUGAUUCCAAAGACAGGUGCAGAGAGGUUCAGGCAUCAGACAGGCUACCUGGAUCCAAAUCCCAGCUCCAUCAUUUACUACUUUCAUGGCCUUUACAAACCACUAAACUUCUCUCUGAGCUUCAAUUUUCCCAUCUGUAACAUGGGAACUAAUAAAAUGAAACCUUCCUAAUAAAGUUGCCAGGAAGAUUCAUUGAGACAUUGAAUGUAAAGUAUUUAACUCAAUAUAGAGCACAGGGGAGCACCAAAUAAAAUUCAGGUGUUACAUUUUUAAGCACGUGUUCACCAAGGCUCCCAAUUCAGGUGGUGAGGAUUCUAUGAUGAUCAAUUCCUCCUAAGGUAUUUGUAAAAUGACCCACCAGAUUACCAACCAUUCCUGUAUUUCCAGAACCCUUUGGAGUCCUUUAUGUAACCUGGGAGAGCUGUUAUUCUUUUUUCUUUUUGGUAGAAGUGAAAUCCUGCAGGAAAACUUGCUCCAUUUUGGUUAUUUCUGUUAUAUCACAAGGUGGGCUGGAUAGCAAGUUUUGGAAGCACUGAACACCCACACGGAGCUGGCUCCUCUCAGGCGGGGAGGCAUCUUCACUAAGGAGAGGUGCAGUCUGUGUCCCCGUCCUUGACUCUGAGAAUCCCUGUGAUCAACAGAAUGCAGAAAAGUGACACUGCAUGGCUUCUGAGGCUAGGUCCAGAAAAGGUGAUGCAGCUUCCCCCUUUGCGCUGAAAUGCAGUGCUUGGACCUCAGAGCUAUUGACUAAGAAGUCCAUGCACCCUGAGCUUCUCAUGCUGGGGAAGCCACGUGUAGGCAUUCAGUUCCCAGCCCAGCUGAGCUCCAUCCUGGCUGCAACAAUUGUUCUCAUGAGGAAGCCAUCUUGGACACUCAGCUCCAUGGAGCCUCCACGAGUCGCCAGCCCCAACUGACAUCUGUCUCACUGCAACCACAGAAGAGCCUCCAACCAAGAACUGCACAGCUGAACCCUUUCUAAAUUCUUGAUCUCCAAAAAGCCAUGCACAAAAUAAAAUGGUUGUUUUGAGCCACUAAACUCUGGAACCUCGAGUAGGGGAGAAGUUCCUUUGGAUGAAAGAAGAGAACCCUUAGAACGUGUUACUUGUCUGCAGUCUCAUGUGCAGCAGGGCCAGCAUUUGAACCAGGUGCCUUUUGCCUCUGGAGUCUGAGCUGCCAAUUACUGUGUUACAGUGUAUAAUUUUAUCAGUUAUUACCAUUUAUAUAAAAUUUUAAGUCAU